UACGUAGGUCCCGAGCGUUGUCCGGAUUUAUUGGGCGUAAAGCGAGCGCAGGCGGUUUGAUAAGUCUGAAGUUAAAGGCUGUGGCUUAACCAUUGUAUGCUUUGGAAACUGUAUAACUUGAGUGCAAGAGGGGAGAGUGGAAUUCCAUGUGUAGCGGUGAAAUGCGUAGAGAUUAGGAGGAACACCAGUGGCGAAGGCGGCUCUUUGGCCUGUAACUGACGCUGAGGCGCGAAAGCGUGGGGAGCGAACAGG
rnacentral:rRNA from 1 species